GAGUUAUUGCCCUUUAUAGUCAAUUUUUAAUCAUUUUUCGUAAAUCUUAGUUAUCUUUUACAAAAAUCUUCUCUUCUGAAACUACUGGGCCAAAUUAAUUCAAACUUGGCCACAAUCAUCUUUGAGUACGCUUGUUGAAAAAUGUGUCCGAUGACCUGGCCAUCCAACCAAGAUGGCCACCACGGCUAAAAAUAGAACAGGGGUAAAAUGUAGUUUUUUGCUUUUAACUCUGAAACCCAAAUCAUUUAGAGGAAAUCUGAACAAGGAGUUAAAUUGUUAAUCAAAGUCAAUAUAUAUCUGCCCUGAAAUAUUCAAAUGAAUUGGACAACCGGUUGUUGGGUUGCUGCCCUCCAAUUGGUAAUUUUUAAAGAAAUUUUGCUGUUUUUGGUUAUUAUCUUGAAUACUAUUAUAGAUAGCUAUAAACUGUAAACAGCGAUAAUGUUCAUCAAAGUAAGAUCUACAAAUAAGUCCACAUGACCUAAAUGGUCAAUU
rnacentral:lncRNA from 1 species